rnacentral:rRNA from 1 species
UACGUGUAAGGCAAGCGUUAUUCGUCAUUAAUGGGUCUAAAGGGUACGUAGGCGGUAUAGUAAAUCUUUUUUAUUAACACCUAAGAGUGAGAAAGAUAUUGCUAAACUAGAGUAAAUAAGAAGUAACAAACUCUUUUAGAAUUGGGUAAGAAUAUUAAACUUUGUGGGUUGCGAAGUGGCAAAAGCAUGCUACUAUGAAAAACUGACGCUGAGGUACGAAGGCAUGGGUAUCGAUCGGG